GACGAACGCUGGCGGCGUGCUUAACACAUGCAAGUCGAGCGGUAAGGCUCCUUCGUGAUUACCCGCUCGGCGAACGGGUGGGUAACACGUGAGUAAUCUGCCCUUCACUUCGUGAUAACCACCUGCAACGGUGGCUAAUACCUACUACGACCAGUCUUCGCCUGCAGUGCUGGUGUAAAGUCUUUUCGGUGGAGGAUGUUCUCGCGGCCUAUCAGCUUGUUGGUGGUGUAAUGGCCUACCACGACUUCGACGGGUAGCCGGCCUAGGAGGGUGACGGGCGAGACCGGGAACGAGACACCGGAGAGACGCCUACGAGAGGAAGCGGUGGGGAAUGUUGGAAAAAGGGCGAAAGGCUGAGAAAGCAACGCCGCGUGAGGGAUGACGGCCUUGGGGUUGUAAACCUCUUUAAGUGCCGACGAAGCGGACGGUCGGGGGGUGACGGUAGGGACAGAAGAAGGACCGGCUAACUACGUG
rnacentral:rRNA from 1 species